UCCCAGGGGGGACGGGGGGGACACGACCCCCCCAUCCUGGGGAAAAUAUGAUUUGUCCCCCCCAAUAUAUCACUGUAAACAUAACUAUGUAAUUUCAAUAAUAUUAAUAAUACGCAAUGAAAGCACUUGUACUGAUUAUAGACACUUAAUAGCGCGUUUUUAAAUUUCACAAGAUUGCGACCCCCCCGCCCUUUGCCUCACAAUGGUUUGAUCCACUGCCAGUUCUUUAGCUGGCAAGGUAAUAGAGGGCUCGUAUCUACUGUCCGAAAGGCACUCAAUGUACGUAACUGACGUGAGGCAGAGCAGGCAACAGAUGGCACACAGACAGCAGAGCUGGGGACAGAUAUGCAGGGACAGACUGGCAGAGACAGGGAGUCUCAGGAGACAGACUGUGAGUCAGUGAGGGUGGUGAAAGGGAAAGAGCCAAGGAGAGAGACUUGAGGACAGUGUCACAGCCACGGCAGGACCAGGUGUCACCCUUGUUGCCAGCAGCACCAGUAUAGGGGACAGUGGCACAGCAUCGUCCAGUUACCUCAGUGAUGACACAAAACCAUAUCAGCCACACCCACAAUUUAUAGAACCGCAAACGUUUCAAGAGAGAGGAACACUGCACUGAUAAGGAACAUUGCUAUAACUAUUAUUAUUAGUAGUAUUAUAAUGAUUUAAACAAGUUGGGACAACCCUUCAGUUAACUACUGUACCUAACAAUUAUCCAGUAGUAGUGAUUAUGGUCCCUCAAUAUACAUUUAACAUAUUACAACAUAGUCUAUGUGUUACAGCACUACUUUUGGUGUCCCCCUCAGGAAUUGCUCCUGAGAAAAUUUCAUGUAAUUGUCCCCUCCAAGGUUGAUAUCAGA